rnacentral:lncRNA from 1 species
UGGGGUCGUCUUCCAUGCGGUAGAAGCUUUGUUCUUUUGCUGUUUGCAAUAAAUCUUGUUGCUGGUCACUGUUUGGGUCCGCACUGCCUUUGUGAGCUGUAACGCUCACCACGAAGGUCUGCGGGUUCACUGCUGAGGCCAGUGAGAGCCCGAGCCCACCAGGAGGAAUGAACAACUCCGGAUGGGAGAAACGAACAACUCCAGAUCCGCCGACUUAAGAGCUGCAACACUCACCGCCAAGCUAUGCAGCUUGACUCCUGAAGCCAGCGAGACCACGAACCCAUCAGAAGAAAAACUGUGAACACACCCGAGGAAUAAACUCCGGACACACCAUCUUUAAGAAUUGUAACACUCACCACGAGGGUCCACGGCUUCAUUCUUGAGGAAAAUUAAAUCUUCUUUAAGGUCCUGCUCUUUUCCUCUUGACAGCAAGCUACCACUGUUUAGAGAGAGUCUCCUGUUGUCUUCGUCCUGAGGCUUCUUCCAUCUGCACGGAGGUUCCGAAGCGUUUAUGACAUAUCAAUCCCUCUACCAUCAGGCACACAUUUCACUGUUUUGGGAGAAGGCCUUUGGACUGAAGCUGGAAUCACUGCUGCUCCGUGGGUGCUUGUCAUGGCUCCUGUGGAUGGGAACCCGCUAGGCUUCUAGGCUCUGCAUGGGUUUGUCUUUUUGAAUAAAUUGAGCAA